UAGUCCACGCCGUAAACGAUGAGAACUAGAUGUUGGGAGGAAUAGCCUUUCGGUGUCGCAGCUAACGCAUUAAGUUCUCCGCCUGGGGAGUACGCCGGCAACGGUAAAACUCAAAGGAAUUGACGGGGACCCGCACAAGCGGUGGAGCAUGUGGUUUAAUUCGAUGCAACGCGAAGAACCUUACCUGCCCUUGACAUACAGAGAACUUUCCAGAGAUGGAUUGGCGCCUUCGGGAACUCUGAUACAGGUGCUGCAUGGCUGUCGUCAGCUCGUGUCGUGAGAUGUUGGGUUAAGUCCCGCAACGAGCGCAACCCUUAUUCUUAGUUGCCAGCAUGUAAUGAUGGGGACUCUAGGAAGACUGCCGGCGUAAGCCGUGAGGGAAGGUGGGGGACGACGGUCAAAUCAUCAUGGCCUUUAUGCCUAGGGGCUACACACGUGCUACAAUGGUGCAUACAGCGGGGUAGCGAAAUCGCGAGGGUGGGAGCUAAUCUU
rnacentral:rRNA from 1 species